GGAUUAUAUUAUGGGUGCCGGUUUUACCGGCUAUGGCGAUAAACGCCUUGUGGAAUAAGCGUAGCGGACCCGGGGGCAGUGCCCGGCGCCUCCACCAAAUUCCCAUAGAGUUUUCCGGACUUGGCCAAAGUGUCUCGUCCGGGCCGUUAUGGGGGCGAAACAGGAUCGACGCGCGUGGUAAAGGCUUGGUUUUCGCUCGGAAUGGUACCGCCGUUAUCGGGCCGUUUUACAGAUGCCAACGACAAUGAGGCAUUUGCUGUUGCCGCCUAACGGCUAAGCAACAACGGGGUUCGGGGGGCACCUGGCAACAGAAGCCCCCCAC
rnacentral:tmRNA from 1 species